CUUGACAGCAAAUUCGUGGUUUAAGCACCGAAAGUUCUAUCGGUGGCCUUAACUUAAGAAAAAACAAGCACUGCCUUAAUACCCAAUCCUCACUCUAUUUUCCUCUUUCAUGAGCCAAACGCGCAGCAACAAGAAUCAAAUCCACAGACAAGCUUGAAACCAUUUCAGGUGCUGGGGAACAUUAUCAAUUUGUGUUAUCCUGAGAUCCAAUGGGAGCAGGGGAAAUAUUGUUAACACAACGGUCUUUGAUUUAUGUGUCCAUGGAAAAUGUGUUUGAGCAAUGAGCACUCAGAAGUCUUGUAAAAUUUUGCACCUUACAGUUACAGGGUUUUGUUCGUUCUGAUACGAGUUUUCUUAUUUCUUAUCAUCUGCCUUACAUCAUUAACAAACAACAAUGACCACCUCUUUCCCUCGCUCGCUGUCCUGUGUAGUCAACACUGCUCUCCGCCACACCAAAUCCGUUUCCAACGCAGUGACACGGCUCCUCUGCUCUUCUUCAACUCAGCCACAACAUGAAAACCCUGUCAGGGAACAAACACAGACACCACCUCAAGAAUCUCUCCAUGAUGAGAACAAACAAAGAUAUGAGCCCAAAGAAGAUGACGGAGAUGGUGACAGUAUUAACAAAGAAACCGGUGAGAUUGGUGGACCCAAGGGGCCCGAGCCCACUAGGUAUGGUGAUUGGGAACGCAAUGGUCGCUGCUCUGAUUUUUAAGUAUAACCAUUAUAGUGUGUUUGGAUCCACUUUAUACAUGCACAUCUCAAACUAAAAUCACUCAAAUUGAAGGAAAGACGAGAAUAGUAGCUUUCACUUUGACGUCGAUCCAAACGUGCAGAUGAUAAAUUAAAUUUCACUAAUAUUGUGCCAUUUUUUCUUUAGUUCUGAUUUGAUGACCUUAUGAUUAAUGAUUAAGGGUGUGUAAAAAUCGAAUUGAAGUGAUUUCAAACUGUCUUAACCGGUUUGAUUUUAUAUUCAAAUAGUUGAACGGUUUGACAUCU